CUUCACAACACUGAAUUUGAACGUGUUGGGUAAGAACUAUACUCAUAACUCAGUAGCUUGUAACAAUGCAUGAAUUGGUUUUACUCGACCAUUUGCAUGUUAUUGUCCUACCCAGCAAUCAUCAUAUGCAAGGUGUUUGUAUAUUCACCUCAAAUGCAUAUGGAGACGCAUAUCUUUCUAGUAUCACUUUGAUACUGUCAAUUUCUUGUUAGUU
rnacentral:lncRNA from 1 species